rnacentral:rRNA from 1 species
UACGUAGGGUGCAAGCGUUAAUCGGAAUUACUGGGCGUAAAGCGUGCGCAGGCGGUUGUGUAAGACAGAUGUGAAAUCCCUCGGCUUAACCGGGGAACUGCAUCUGAUACUGGAUGGCUUGAGAUUGGGAGAGGGAUGCGGAAUUCCAGGUGUAGCGGUGAAAUGCGUAGAUAUCUGGAGGAACACCGGUGGCGAAGGCGGCAUCCUGGACCAACACUGACGCUGAGGAGCGAAAGCCAGGGGGAGCAAACGGG